rnacentral:rRNA from 1 species
UGAAAAUUAGGUCUGGCCUGCUCACUGACUUGUUUUAAAAGAGCCGCGGUAUUUUGACCGUGCAAAGGUAGCAUAAUCAUUAGUCUCUUAAUUAGAGGCUGGAAUGAAUGGUUUGACGAGGAAUUGACUGUCUCUAUUUAAUAUCUAGAAUUUAACUUUUGAGUUAAAAGGCUUAAAUUUUUCUUUAGGACGAGAAGACCCUAUAGAGCUUAAUAUAUAAUUUUUAUAUAGUUUUUAGUUUGUUUUCCUAUAUUUAAUUUAAUAUAUUUUGUUGGGGUGACAUGAAGGAUAAUUAAACCCUUCAUUAUUAAAUCAUUGAUUUAUGUUAUUUUGAUCCAUAAUUUAUGAUCAUAAGAUUAAGUUACCUUAGGGAUAACAGCGUAAUUGUUUUAGAGAGCUCAAAUCGACAAAGCAGAUUGCGACCUCGAUGUUGGAUUAAGAAAAAUGCUAGGUGCAGUGGGCUUAGUAAUUAGGUCUGUCGACCUUUAAAUUCUUACGUGA